GUGUUUUACAGGCAAGUUCAAGGUUUGGGAGCUCACUGGUGUCUGUGCGGUCUAAGGAAAGGAACCAAGUGGUCGUUGCUGCUGGAAGGAGUUCUUGGGGAGCCCGGCUCUCUGGGGCACUUCACGUCUACAGCUUCAGCUCAGAUUGAAGAUGUCAUCUCCUAAUCAGCCCGUCUCUUCAGCAAGUCAUCUCCAUGAUGGCCAAAGUAGUUCUCCAGAGGAGCUCUGGUGAAACCUGACAGAGGUGGGGCUCCUGGACAGCCAGGCUACCCGGAAAUGCGGUCAGCUCUGUGUGGACACUGGAUGAGAGGGAGCAGCAGGCUUUGAGGGCAAGUCCCUCUAAAGUGCUUUUGAAUCCUCUGAGCUUGCUGCCUGUGCGUGGGACUUUAUCAACCCACCCCCUUUUCUGCGGCAUUACCUGCCUCUCUAGUGUAGAAAGGGUGUAGUUAGCUCUUAACAUUCUCCAUAUAAUUGCUCCUAUAAAAUCCUUCUUCGUGGUGGCUGGUCCUAUUUGGAUCUUAAAUGUACCCCAAAUCUAUGUUGAAGGCUUGGCCCUUAGCUUAAAGAAGGUAGGAACUGAAGUGGGUCUUUGUCGGAGGAAGUUAUGUUACUGGGGUGUAUCAGGACCCCAGGUCCUUCCUUGCCUCUCCACUGCCAGUUGCUGUGAAAUGAGCAGCUCUCCUCCGCCAUGACAUAGUGCUUCUUUCCCAGCCCCAAAGCAAAGGGCCAAGCACCCUGGAGCUGACUUGGCUGAAACUGAGCCAAAAUAAACAUUUCCUCUUUUUAGGCUG
rnacentral:lncRNA from 1 species